rnacentral:misc_RNA from 1 species
CCUCUACUAUGUAUGUGCACCUGCCAGUGGUCAGUGAGAGAGAUUUUUUUAUAGGAAAUACCUGGUAAUCUGAAGCUUCAAUAGAUGGAUAUUUUAUUCAUGUCAACAAUGAUUUUUUGCAAAGAAUCUGCAACACUGAUAUUUACUGUUAUGUAGAAUACAUAUUUUAUUGAAUUUAGAACUAUAAAAAUAGUAAAUAGUAAAAUGGUAUUGACCAGUGUAUUAGAAGAAUAUUGGAAAUAUCAAAACUGUUAAUCUUAAUCAUGAUGGACAAAAAGAAACUGAAGCCCAUUUUAUAUAAUAUAUAUACCAGACUCAGCAUAUAUUUAUUUAAAGGUAACUGCAUGGUGCUUUACAAUUUUUCAACAUGGAGCAUUGUGAAGUUAUAUAAUCUUAUAAGUCUUUCAAAAAAGGUUGUUGUUAAUUAUUGUUAUUUUAAAUUGUUACUUGUUGUUAAUUAAUACCUUUGGUUGGUAUAUAUAUUAAUGGGCAUUUUUUUGUUGACUGUAUGAACAUUACCUUCUUGUAUUCAUAUAUUGUACAUUUAUUUAUAAGGUUGUUAAUACAUGUAUUUAGUGGAUAUACUAGCUGUAAUUUGUUAAAUGCUAGAUGUUUUUCAUUAGUUUGUUAUUUGUGUGUAAAAGUCUUAUAUGAAAUUGUUGAAGUCUUUCAUGGAAUUGUUGAGGUCUUUUAUAAAGUGCCAUUUAUUUAUUAUUUACAUCUGUUACAGAUUUGUUUAAGACAAAUUAAUGAAUUAUAGAGUUCUAUUUUUACAAAUUACUUUAUCUUGUUUUCACAAUGAUCCAUUUGGAUGGAUUUAGAUUUUUGUAUUCCAUAUAUUGUAUUAUUUCUAAUCAUGCUAAAAGUCAGAUUAUUAUAUAUUUUUGAUAUUUUUAUCUAAACUUACUUUAUGUUUUUAAGUAAGUCAGCGGUAUAUAGUUAUUAUCAAGCUGUCAGCAGGUAUGACAGUUGAAUUUUUUAAUUGUUUUGUUUUUUGUUGAUAUAUUUCAUGCUAUUAAGUUUAUUUUUUUUUUAAAAUAUCAAAAUAAAUUGUUCUUCUAUCCAUUUAU